rnacentral:rRNA from 1 species
UACAGAGGUCCCAAGCGUUGUUCGGAUUCAUUGGGCGUAAAGGUGCGUAGGCGGCGCGGUAAGUCGGGUGUGAAAUCUCGGAGCUUAACUCCGAAACUGCAUUCGAUACUGCCGUGCUUGAGGACUGGAGAGGAGACUGGAAUUUACGGUGUAGCGGUGAAAUGCGUAGAUAUCGUAAGGAAGACCAGUGGCGAAGGCGGGUCUCUGGACAGUUCCUGACGCUGAGGCACGAAGGCCAGGGGAGCAAACGGG